CGCGUAGGCGGUCUCUAAAGUCAGAUGUGAAAGCCCGGGGCUUAACCCCGGAAGUGCAUUUGAAACUUAGGGACUUGAGUAUGGGAGAGGGAAGUGGAAUUCCUGGUGUAGCGGUGAAAUGCGUAGAUAUCAGGAGGAACACCAGUGGCGAAGGCGACUUCCUGGACCAAUACUGACGCUGAAGCGCGAAGGCGUGGGGAGCAAACA
rnacentral:rRNA from 1 species